rnacentral:rRNA from 1 species
GAAGCUGGAUUCGCUAGUAAUCGCGCAUCAGCCACGGCGCGGUGAAUACGUUCCCGGGGCCUUGUACACACCGCCCGUCCAAGCCAUGGGAGCCGGGGGUACCUGAAGUGCGUGACCGCAAGGAGCGCCCUAAGGUAAAACCGGUGACUGGGGCUAAGUCGUAACAAGGUAGC